AAGGAUCAUUACCGAGUGAGGGCCCUCUGGGUCCAACCUCCCACCCGUGUCUAUCGUACCUUGUUGCUUCGGCGGGCCCGCCGUUUCGACGGCCGCCGGGGAGGCCUUGCGCCCCCGGGCCCGCGCCCGCCGAAGACCCCAACAUGAACGCUGUUCUGAAAGUAUGCAGUCUGAGUUGAUUAUCGUAAUCAGUUAAAACUUUCAACAACGGAUCUCUUGGUUCCGGCAUCGAUGAAGAACGCAGCGAAAUGCGAUAAGUAAUGUGAAUUGCAGAAUUCAGUGAAUCAUCGAGUCUUUGAACGCACAUUGCGCCCCCUGGUAUUCCGGGGGGCAUGCCUGUCCGAGCGUCAUUGCUGCCCUCAAGCACGGCUUGUGUGUUGGGCCCCCGUCCCCCUCUCCCGGGGGACGGGCCCGAAAGGCAGCGGCGGCACCGCGUCCGGUCCUCGAGCGUAUGGGGCUUUGUCACCUGCUCUGUAGGCCCGGCCGGCGCCAGCCGACACCCAACUUUAUUUUUCUAAGGUUGACCUCGGAUCAGGUAGGGAUACCCGCUGAACUUAA
rnacentral:rRNA from 2 species